CAACAAGAGGAGCCAGAGCUGGGGACGUGCUGCAGCCACACUGCUCCUCUGAUGGAGGCUCUGACGUCUCUCUGCUCAGUAAAGUUGGAAAAACUUCUAAAAUCCUGGAUAUUGCAAGGAUCUGUGGUGAUGGGACAAGGGGGAAUGGCUUUAAGAAGGAUGCACAUGGCUGGUGUCAAAUCCUAAAGAAGGAACAGCCCUGAGCACGUCCCUGCAGAAGAUCCUCCUCUCUCACACCUCAGCACCAGCCACUGCCACAGCUCUGCACAUCUGUGGAAUGAGAACCAACCCACACACCUCUGGAUUUUAAGUGAAAGAAAGGGAUGUUCAGGUUCACCAGAGCAAGUUAUGUGGGCAAGCUCAGCUUCUCCAGGAGGAUUCACAUUGAAA